rnacentral:rRNA from 1 species
GAUGAACGCUGGCUACAGGCUUAACACAUGCAAGUCGAGGGGAAACGCCGGGGAAGCUUGCUUCCCCGGGCGUCGACCGGCGCACGGGUGAGUAACGCGUAUCCAACCUGCCUCUGACUGAGGGAUAACCCGUCGAAAGUCGGCCUAAUACCUCAUGGCAUCGUCUGCGGGCAUCCAACGACGAUUAAAGAUUUCAUCGGUCAGGGAUGGGGAUGCGUCUGAUUAGCCUGUUGGCGGGGUAACGGCCCACCAAGGCUACGAUCAGUAGGGGUUCUGAGAGGAAGGUCCCCCACAUUGGAACUGAGACACGGUCCAAACUCCUACGGGAGGCAGCAGUGAGGAAUAUUGGUCAAUGGGCGGGAGCCUGAACCAGCCAAGUAGCGUGCAGGAGGACGGCCCUAUGGGUUGUAAACUGCUUUUAUGCGGGGAUAAAGUGAGGGACGUGUCCUUCAUUGCAGGUACCGCAUGAAUAAGGACCGGCUAAUUCCGUG